rnacentral:rRNA from 1 species
UACGAAGGGUGCGAGCGUUGUUCGGAUUUACUGGGCGUAAAGGGCGCGCAGGCGGCUCAUUUUGUCAGGCGUGAAAGCCCCGGGCUUAACCUGGGAACUGCGUUUGAUACGGAUGGGCUAGAGUUCGGGAGAGGAGAGUGGAAUUCCCAGUGUAGAGGUGAAAUUCGUAGAUAUUGGGAAGAACACCGGUGGCGAAGGCGGCUCUCUGGACCGAGACUGACGCUGAGGCGCGAAAGCGUGGGGAGCAAACAGG